AGAAUAAGCCCCGGCUAACUUCGUGCCAGCAGCCGCGGUAAUACUAAGGGGGCUAGCGUUGUUCGGAAUUACUGGGCGUAAAGGGCGCGUAGGCGGUUUGUUAAGUCAGGGGUGAAAUCCCGGGGCUCAACCCGGGAACUGCCUUUGAUACUGUAGGUCUUGAGUACGGGAGAGGUGAGUGGAAUUCCCGGUGUAGAGGUGAAAUUCGUAUAUAUUGGGAAGAACACCAGUGGCGAAGGCGGCUCACUGGCCCGUUACUGACGCUGAGGCGCGAAAGCGUGGGGAGCAAACAGGAUUAGAUACCCUGGUAGUCCACGCCGUAAACGAUGA
rnacentral:rRNA from 1 species